rnacentral:lncRNA from 1 species
UUUUUCAUUGUUAAUCUUUUUUUUAUUUUUUUAUUUUUUAUUUUUAUUAACCUCGGUAACAUGUACCAACUGAGAGGUGAUAUAUUGUGUCAAUAUUUAUUAAUUACCUUUUUAAGAGCUUCUUUUAUUUUAUAUUUUAUGAACUCAUAUACUUUGGUUUUCCUUGAAACUCGACGUGAAAGAUCUUUUAAUUGAGUUCUCA